GGAUCAAUUUGCUGGUCGAGACCUCUGGUACGUACUGGUAUUAUUGAUUUCUCCCUUCUGACGAACCAUGAUGUCAUUAAUUUGAUGUCGUGGAGAAUCCGGACUGUUACUUUGAAAAAAUUAGAGUGUUUAAAGCAGGCAUUAGCUUGAAUACAUUAGCAUGGAAUAAUGAAAUAGGACGUUUGAUCCUAUUUUGUUGUCUUCUAGGUUUGACGUA
rnacentral:rRNA from 1 species